rnacentral:misc_RNA from 1 species
CAGAAAGAUACACAAAUGCAUGUGCCCCAUACAAAAUGGGAUCUCUCAACCAACACAUAUAAUGGUAGAAGCUGAUUGCAGGCUCAAUAAAUGAGUGCGUUUUGACAUUUCCAUUACAAACAUAUAAGGGUCAUUUUCAAGAAAACUUUCUCUCUCUAUCAGUGGGGAUUCUUGAGGACAGUAAGUUCAGAUAGCAUAUGAGGCAACUCAGUGCAUGUGCACCAUUCCUGUCACACAAGGGCCCAUCUAUCUCAUUAAAACUGUAUGCUCAUCUCAGUUCAAACUGGUAUAAAG